GGGCACAAGCAGCACGAGUGUGGUGCAGUGUGAUCUAGGAUCUAGUAGUGCAAUUGGAGACAAGGGAAAGAGAAUCCUUGGCUUCACAUCCUUGAUGACUACACCCAGUAUACCUGAAGAAGAAGAAGAGAUGCCUCGAGUAGAUGUUGUUUAUGAAAAUAUUCAAAACAUACCUCCUCUACCGAAGACAUACAUCAAGAGUCCUGCAAAGCUGAAGAGAAAACGUGGAGAUGAGGAUCCUUCAGAGCCGAGCAGUGCGGCGAAGAGGAUUGAUUUUGAUGAUCCAUUAGAAGCUUAGGAUGUUAUAGAUAGUUUUGGGAUGCUUACAUGUCUAGUUGGCAUGUAUAUUUUGUAUAUGGACAUACAUUCACGUAUUUAGACAUACAUUUUGUUUCAGUUGGUGUUUAUGCCAUAUUUGUGUAUGGACAUACAUUUGUAAUCAUUCGACAUUUUUAUAUAUACAGAAGUUGA